AGAGUUUGAUCAUGGCUCAGAACGAACGCUGGCGGCAGGCUUAACACAUGCAAGUCGAACGCUCGUAGCAAUACGGGAGUGGCAGACGGGUGAGUAACGCGUGGGAACAUACCCUCCGGUUCGGAAUAGCUCAGGGAAACUUGGAUUAAUACCGGAUACGGCUGAGAGGCGAAAGAUUUAUCGCCGGAGGAUUGGCCCGCGUUCGAUUAGCUUGUUGGUGAGGUAACGGCUCACCAAGGCGAUGAUCGAUAGCUGGUCUGAGAGGAUGAUCAGCCACAUUGGGACUGAGACACGGCCCAAACUCCUACGGGAGGCAGCAGUGGGGAAUAUUGGACAAUGGGCGCAAGCCUGAUCCAGCCAUGCCGCGUGAGUGAUGACGGCCUUAGGGUUGUAAAGCUCUUUCGCUCGGGACGAUAAUGACGGUACCGAGAUAAGAAGCCCCGGCUAACUUCGUGCCAGCAGCCGCGGUAAUACGAAGGGGGCUAGCGUUGUUCGGAAUUACUGGGCGUAAAGCGCGUGUAGGCGGGUCUUUAAGUCAGGGGUGAAAUGCCAAGGCUCAACCUUGGAACUGCCUUUGAUACUGGAGAUCUUGAGUCCGGGAGAGGUGAGUGGAAUUGCGAGUGUAGAGGUGAAAUUCGUAGAUAUUCGCAAGAACACCAGUGGCGAAGGCGGCUCACUGGCCCGGAACUGACGCUGAGACGCGAAAGCGUGGGGAGCAAACAGGAUUAGAUACCCUUGUAGUCC
rnacentral:rRNA from 1 species